UGAAAAGAGAGAGUAUUCUCGAUUUUUCUACAGAACGAUAGUAUCUCAGGGUCGUUGAUAGUUCGCAGAUCAAGAGAUGACCCUAUCUUGUAAAGGACGAUACUACUGCUGUCAUCAAGGCCAUCGGUGCGAGCCACUUGGAGUAUUUCCACCCACACAGAUCGAGUUCCUUGUAUUAUCGAACAGUAUUGGACUCGUAAAAAAUAAUUCGAUGAAAAUCGAAAUACAAAUGGCGGAGAAGGCGGCCCCAAAGUAUUUCUUGGUAUCCUCUUAACGGAUAAAAAUUCAUCGAAAACAAAGAACUCUUCUCGAGAUGUAGGCGCAUGAAGACAAAGAGAAAGGAAACGGUGAUUAUUAAAUGAAGAAUCGAAAUAGUUUGAAGGUUAUUACAUGAAAUCUAAUUUUGCAUGCUUUUUAUAUUCUAAUAAUGAAAUAUUAGCACGUGAUAAAUUAUCAUAGUACGUGCUACAUUUGUGAUUUUAUUUUAAUGAAAAGCAUUAUAACGAAGUUUUUAUUAUUUUUCCUUCGAAAUUUCUAUCGGAUGAAUUAAAACAUUUCAAGCUAUCACUAAAUUUUCGCUUAUUGAGCAUACGCAUGUAAGUUAUUCAUCGGUUUUAUGUCAUGUAUAUGAUGUAUAUACAUUCAUCCAUAUCUUCUUUUCUAUAUACGUUCACAUACCGAUUCUCCUUGGAACUCGGUGUGUUGGAAGAAAAUAAAAACUAACGAAACAUCUCGUAACCUCAUAUCUACAAUAGUUUCGUUACUUCUGAAUCGAGAUUAUACACACACACACACAAUUACUUUUGAAGCAUGAGAAACACUUUUUGUCCGUUCAGAUUUUGAAUUGAAACCGUUCAGAUUACGUCUGAUUAAAUGCCUCAAAAUGACAUGUAUGAUAUUUGUAGCACACCAAUGAUUUUUAAUUUAAAAAGAAAACUAUAGAAAACAAACUAAAAAUAUUUAACAAAAUGUAAUUCUUAUAACACGUAUAUUAUAAUUAACUCUUAAUAGCCGAUAGUGUAAUAUUGACAAAUAUUUGAUAAAUUUGAAUUUUAUAAAAACAUUAUCUCAUAAUACCGAUAUUUUUAUUGAAUUACGAUCUGAAUAAUGUAGGCAUAAUUUUAAUUAUUCUUUUGUAAGAAUUGUCCUAUCGAGAACAAUACGAAAUUCACAAAUGAUGUGAAAUGUAACAGAAAAAAAACCGAUUAGAUUCCAACAAAUAAUUGGCAUUGCAUUAAAAGAACUAGUGAAAAGGGA